rnacentral:rRNA from 1 species
CUACGGGCCGCUGCAGUGAGGAAUAUUGGUCAAUGGACGCAAGUCUGAACCAGCCAUGCCGCGUGCAGGAAUGAAUGCCCUAUGGGUUGUAAACUGCUCUUGUAAGGGAAGAAACCUCUGGAUGCGUUCGGAGCUGACGGUACCUUACGAAUAAGCAUCGGCUAACUCCGUGCCAGCAGCCGCGGUAAUACGGAGGAUGCAAGCGUUAUCCGGAUUUAUUGGGUUUAAAGGGUGCGCAGGCGGCUAUAUAAGUCAGUGGUGAAAUCUUACGGCUCAACCGUAAAACUGCCAUUGAUACUGUAUAGCUAGAGUACAGAUGGGGUAGGCGGAAUGUAGCAUGUAGCGGUGAAAUGCAUAGAUAUGCUACAGAACACCAAUCGCGAAGGCAGCUUACCAAGCUGUUACUGACACUCAGGCACGAAAGCGUGGGGAUCAAACAGGAUUAGAUACCCGCGUAGUC